CAGUAGCCACGGGAAUACGUAGGUGGCGAGCGUUGUCCGGAAUUAUUGGGCGUAAAGGGAGCGCAGGCGGACAUAUAAGUCCAUCUUAAAAGUGCGGGGCUCAACCCCGUGAGGGGAUGGAAACUGUAUGCCUUGAGUGCAGGAGAGGAAAGCGGAAUUCCCAGUGUAGCGGUGAAAUGCGUAGAUAUUGGGAGGAACACCAGUGGCGAAGGCGGCUUUCUGGACUGCAACUGACGCUGAGGCUCGAAAGCCAGGGGAGCGAACGGGAUUAGAGACCCCUGUAGUCCCUGUCUCUUAUACA
rnacentral:rRNA from 1 species